rnacentral:rRNA from 1 species
GACGAACGCUGGCGGCGUGCUUAACACAUGCAAGUCGAACGAAGAGCGACGGAAGCUUGCUUCUAUCAAUCUUAGUGGCGAACGGGUGAGUAACACGUAAUCAACCUGCCCUUCAGAGGGGGACAACAGUUGGAAACGACUGCUAAUACCGCAUACGAUCUAAUCUCGGCAUCGAGGAUGGAUGAAAGGUGGCCUCUACAUGUAAGCUAUCACUGAAGGAGGGGAUUGCGUCUGAUUAGCUAGUUGGAGGGGUAACGGCCCACCAAGGCGAUGAUCAGUAGCCGGUCUGAGAGGAUGAACGGCCACAUUGGGACUGAGACACGGCCCAGACUCCUACGGGAGGCAGCAGUGGGGAAUCUUCCGCAAUGGACGAAAGUCUGACGGAGCAACGCCGCGUGAGUGAUGACGGCCUUCGGGUUGUAAAGCUCUGUUAAUCGGGACGAAAGGCCUUCUUGCGAAUAGUGAGAAGGAUUGACGGUACCGGAAUAGAAAGCCACGGCUAACUACGUG